UAGCGAAGCUGCCUAGUGUCUGUAGGAUUAUGCUUAGAACCACAGAAAUGCACCGCCAUGGACGGCGGGGCAAGGCGUUAUGCGCCACGGACGGCGCAUAAAAGCCGGUUUCGUCAGCCUGCGAAACACUCCGGGCAUAAUCCGUACAGACACUUGGCAGCGUAGCGU
rfam:[Eubacterium rectale] ATCC 33656 chromosome, complete genome.